rnacentral:pre_miRNA from 1 species
UGGAGGAACAACCCCAGUGGGUGCAGCAGCUCUGGAAACCUGGAUUCAGCUCCGGCAGUAACUCCGGAGCUCUUCGUCUGCAGGGCCUGGAGGCUCCUGGGCAGG